AGUGGCGUACGGGUGAGUAACACGUGGAUUAUCUACCCUCUUGUGGGGGAUAACCCUGGGAAACCGGGGCUAAUACCGCAUAAGCUCGAGAGAGGAAAGCAGCAAUGCGCAGGAGGAGGAGUCCGCGGCCGAUUAGCUAGUUGGUAGGGUAAAAGCCUACCAAGGCUACGAUCGGUAGCCGGCCUGAGAGGGCACACGGCCACACUGGCACUGAAACACGGGCCAGACUCCUACGGGAGGCAGCAGUGGGGAAUCUUGCACAAUGGGGGCAACCCUGAUGCAGCGACGCCGCGUGAGCGAUGAAGCCCUUCGGGGUGUAAAGCUCUUUCGGCAGGGAAGAUUAUGACGGUACCUGCAGAAGCAGCUGCGGCUAACUACGUGCCAGCAGCCGCGGUAAUACGUAGGCAGCAAGCGUUGUUCGGAGUUACUGGGCGUAAAGGGUGUGUAGGCGGUCCUCUAAGUUUGGUGUGAAAUCUCCCGGCUCAACUGGGAGGGUGCGCCGAA
rnacentral:rRNA from 1 species